UACGUAGGGCGCAAGCGUUAUCCGGAAUUAUUGGGCGUAAAGAGCUCGUAGGCGGUUUGUCGCGUCUGCCGUGAAAGUCCGGGGCUCAACCCCGGGCCUGCAUUCGAUACGGGCAGACUAGAGUUCGGUAGGGGAGUCUGGAAUUCCUGGUGUAGCGGUGAAAUGCGCAGAUAUCAGGAGGAACACCGGUGGCGAAGGCGGGACUCUGGGCCGAUACUGACGCUGAGGAGCGAAAGCGUGGGGAGCAAACAGG
rnacentral:rRNA from 1 species